GAAUAGCCUUUAGAAAUGAAGAUUAAUGCUCCAUGGUAUUGAUUAAUCGCAUGAUUAGUUAAUUAAAGAUUUAUUGGUAAAAGAUGGCUAUGCGUCCUAUUAGUUAGAUGGUAAGGUAACGGCUUACCAUGACAUCGAUAGGUAGGGGUCCUGAGAGGGAGAUCCCCCACACUGGUACUGAGACACGGACCAGACUCCUACGGGAGGCAGCAGUGAGGAAUAUUGGGCAAUGGAGGCAACUCUGACCCAGCCAUGCCGCGUGCAGGAAGACGGCCCUAUGGGUUGUAAACUGCUUUUAUACAGGAAGAAACACUGGUAUGUAUACCAGCUUGACGGUACUGUAAGAAUAAGGACCGGCUAACUCCGUGCCAGCAGCCGCGGUAAUACGGAGGGUCCGAGCGUUAUCCGGAAUCAUUGGGUUUAAAGGGUCCGCAGGCGGUCAAUUAAGUCAGAGGUGAAAUCCCAUAGCUCAACUAUGGAACUGCCUUUGAUACUGGUUGACUUGAGUCAUAUGGAAGUAGAUAGAAUGUGUAGUGUAGCGGUGAAAUGCAUAGAUAUUACACAGAAUACCGAUUGCGAAGGCAGUCUACUACGUAUGUACUGACGCUGAGGGACGAAAGCGUGGGGAGCGAACAGGAUUAGAUACCCUGGUAGUCCACGCCGUAAACGAUGGAUACUAGUUGUUGGGCAUUAGCUCAGUGACUAAGCGAAAGU
rnacentral:rRNA from 1 species